AUUAGACUGAAAGAGAGAAAAAAGACCAGAACAGUUGCUGAGGAGAUGGAGCGUACCACCAGCUGUUACUUACACAAUCAAGUCAAUGCCAGGUAUUUUCCAGGCAACAUCCCAUUCAGUCCUCGAGACAGUCCCUGAGAGAUGACAGCAGUGGACACAGCAGAAAAGGAAGCAGGAGGACUUGAGAAUGAUCACACCCACCUGCCAGCUUCUUCCCCAGGUCAACCCUCCAUUGCUCCCCUCAUGUGCACUGUGUGGGAAACACUACUGAGGGAUGAUCUGCGCUGUGUUAUCUCACUGAAUCUGAGAAGGUUUUGGUUGGAAUGCAGUGGCGCAAUCUUGGCUCACUGCAACCUCUGCCUCCCAGGUUCAAACAAUUCUCCUUUCUCAGCCUCCUGAGUAGCUGGGAUUACAGGUGUCUGCCAUCAUGCCUGGCUAAUUUUUUGUAUUUUUAGUAGAGACGGAGUUUCACCAUGUCAGCCAGGCUGGUCUUGAACUCCUGACCCCAGGUGAUCUGCCUGCCUUGGCCUCCCAAAGUGCUGGGAUUACAGGUGUGAGCCCCUGCGCCUGGCCCUGAAAAGGUUUAACACACAUUUUCCAAAUAAACUUCAUAGAAAGAGUCCCUCUCAGGUUCAAGUCUGGGACUGUGAACAGAGCAGAGGGAGAAUUGCCCCAUUAGGCCUCAUACCAUGAAGUCUCACAUUCAGGCUUUACAGGCACAACCCCAAAGCACUUAAACACUUCUCUCUGUGGCACUUUACUCUGCUGACAUAACUACAACAUUUUGUGUAAAACACUACGAAAUGGAGGGAGCACCAUUAUUUUAUAAAGCGACUGAGAAAGAAAAACGCUGGCAGGUCACAGACACAUCUUCAGAGAUGGAAAAACCUGUGCAUCCUAGAAUUGGUAAACUGAAUUAACUUUCUGUUUUUACCUAAUCUGCCUUAUCCAUAAGGCUUUUUAGUAUAAAAGCAUCUACACGUCAUUGAACCCCGCACCACAAACACAGCAUUAGGCAUAAUGUCUAGUCCUUAUAACUCAGAAGAGAAGCUGUGAUUACCCCCAUUCCAGAGAUGAGGAAGCAGCCCAGAAAGAUCACAUGACUUAGCCUGGGACACAGUGAGUGAGUGGCAAAGCUGGGAUUCAUAUCAGCUGUUUAUGGCUCUAAUAAACAAGAAUGUUUUCUCUUGUACAACCUGCCUCUCCCAGAACCUUCUCAAAAUGUUUCUGUCAUAGAGAAAGGACAGAUACUAUGAUAUGUUAUUUCAUAAUAAGAUAAAUGAGCUACAAGUGGAGAAGAGAUUUAUUUUUAAAAGAGAUUUGUGACCCGGCACGGUGGCUCAUGCCUAUAAUCCCAGCACUUUGGGAUGCCAAGGCAGAAGGAUCACCUGAGGUCAGGCAUUCGAGACCAGCCUGGCCAACAUUGUGAAACCCCAUCUCUACUAAAAAUACAAAAAUUAACUGGGCGUGGUGGCGUGUGCCUAUAAUCCCAGCUACCCAGGAGGCUGAGGCAGGAGAAUUGCUGGAACCUGGAAGGCAGAGGCUGCAGUGAACUGAGAUUGUGCCACUGCACUCCAGCCUGGGCAACAGAGCAAGACUCCAUCUCUAGAAAAAAAAGAGAGAGAUUUGUAAAAAAGAUGAUUUGGAGGUGACCCAAGGGCUACAACUCCAAAUGGCUAUCUUCCUGUUUGAAUUUUUCAUUUCGUAGAUUCCGUGAGCCUUUCCUUUCAUGGGGUGCCUAUUGGGUACUCAGAAUGCAAACUCCAGUCCCUACAUUUCCUGGAUAUCCUUGUUCCAUUUUCAAUGUGCAGAGAAUUAAGCCGUUCAUAACCUUGACCACCAGAUGGCGCGAGCACAUGGCUGGGCCCUGCUGGUGGCUGGUGGGCUCACCGGAUGUUGCAUAAUGAAUUUUAAAAUUCCUGUCUUGUUACUGUUUUCACCUGUUCAAUUACUGGUUUUUGAUGAUAUCUCCAUACACAUGAACAUACAACACAAACAAAGGUAUUAAAAAUUAUUUUAAGAUCAGAUUUCCAGGAAGUCAAGCUCUGUCUAAAGAGUGACUUUUAAUAUUAUAAAUGCAAUAGAAUUAUUACCAGAGUAAAAACAGAUAAUCACAAUUAAAUACAUAAACUCUAUAAUUAAAAAAAAGGCUAAAUAGAGGCACACCAAAAAAUGUAAACAGUUACGUUUCAGUUGUGAAACUGUGUGAUUCUGUUUUUAUCGUCUCUCUCCAUAUUUUCCAACUUCACUUUCACCAUGAUCCAUUACUUAAAAAAAAAUGCUACUAAUAACACAAAUUUUCUAAGAAGGAAAUGCAAGCUCUAUCAUAACUGUAUUACAAAGCAUUUAGAAAACAUAACUGCACCAUCCUAACCCUGUCACUAUGGUCAUUUUGGCACACCUCCUUUAAUUAAGACUUUCUAUGCAUCAGUUUUUUUAUUUGUUUUUUAAGACAGGGUCUCACUUCAUUGCCCAGGCUGGAGUGCAGGGGUGCAAUAUAGGUUCACUGCAGCCUCUGUCUCCCAGGCUCAAGCAAUCCUCCCACCUCAGCCUCCCGAGUAGUUGGGACUACAGGUGUACACUACAGUACCCUGCUAUUUUUUUGUAGAGAUGCGGUUUCGCCAUGUUGUCCAGGCUAUUCUCAAACUCCCGGGCUCAAGCAAUCCACCCACCUUGGUCUCCUAAAGUGCUGGGAUUACAGGUGUGAGCCACUGCACCAGGCCUCUGCAUCAGAUUUUUAUUACAUUUUAUUAUUUUAAGAUAGAGUCUCGUUCUGUUGCCUAGGCUGGAGUGGAGUGGUGUGAUCUUGGUUCCUCACAACCUCGGCCUCCUGUAUUCAAGCAAUUCUCCCACCUCAGCCUCCCAAGGAGCUGGGAUUGCAGGUACCCACCAUCAUGCCCGGCUAAUUUUUUUUUGUAUUUUAAAUAGAGAUGGGGUUUCAUUAUGGUGGCCAGACUGGUUUCCAACUCCUUACAUCAAGUGAUCCACCUACCUUGGCCUCCCAAAGUGCUGGGAUUACAGGUGUGAACUACUAUGUCCAGCCUCUGCAUCAGUUUUAAAUUUACAUUUAUUUAUAUCAUUUAUAGCGGUCUUAGAAAGAGGUGAUAGUACCAGGAAAUCCUGAUUGCUCAUAUGCUGUAGUUUGGCCUGGUCAGAAACUAGGUAACAAAACUCAAUGGGUAACAGAAUUAAGCAUUAGGCUGGUACAAAAGUAAUUGCGGUUUUGGCUAUACUUUUAAUGGCGAACCACAAUUACUUUUCCACCAACCUAAUUCAAAGUAGGCAAAUUUAUAUUUGAAGAGCUAUGCAUAGUUGUCUGAAUGCUGUGUGAGUUCUUACUGUUCCCCACUAGGUGGCAUCAUUGUCCAGAAAAUGAACCAGGAGUGAAGGCGGGAAGUAGAUGUGGCCUCCCAGAAGUAAGGUUCUCCUGGGAGGCUUAUGUCCCAAUAAAGGUUCCCGCUCUUUUCUCUCCUCAGCUGCCCCCAGCAUAAACCCAGACCAAGGACUAGGAAUGUAGGGAACCACCUCACACCUGUCCAUAGAUAACCCCAAUAUGGAAACACACACAAGUGUGGGCACAGGUGUGUAUGGCCAGACAGCUGAAACCAGAUGCAUCCAAAGAGGCCCUCGGAGCCACCUCAGACCUAAAAUCUUCAGGAAAGGGCUGCAGGCCAGCUCUUUCUAGCUCAGGUGUUUCCUGUCUAUUUCAGUCUAUUUCUAGAGUUGGUACAAACCAAAGGUCUGUAAACUCUGGGCACCCUAGGAAGUGGUGUGUUGUCCUCUCUUACUUUUUUUUUUUUUCCUGCCUCAGGUUUAUUUGUACAAAUAGCACAGGAGGACCCCAGCCCCAUGCAGAUGGCAGCCCCGGGAGGGGGGUGUGUCUCACCAGUCCUGUCCUCCCUCACGUUGGCAGACAGAGAUAUCUACUCUGAAGCCUUUGUAAGGGCCUGGGCACCUUUGAGAACCUGAGCUGGAACUGAAGCUGGAGCUGCAGCCUGGACCUUGGUUUGAUCCUUGGCCUUGGCCUUGACCUAUGACCAGCAGAGCCUGAGCCCCUUGGCAAUGCGUGCAUGAGCACGCUUCCCAAGCUUGGGGUGGGCAAUGUAGGCAAGUUGAUCAAGCUUGCGGCUGACACCCUUUGGGAUCUUGGGCUUAACUUCCUUGGGCUUUACGAGGGCCUUGAUGGCCUUGGCAUUGUUGGCCUGCAUCUUCUUUAGGCCCUUCUUGUUGUGCUUCUUGGCAAAGCGCAUGUUCCUCAGGAACUUGGGGUCCACCCCCUUAAGAGAUUCGUAUCUUUGUGAUGGGGGUUUCUUGAUACCAUUUCUGUGCCAUUUUCGGGACUGGUUGUGUGUGGUGUGGUUCUUGGACUUGGCCAUGUCUGCACCUAAGUCGCGGUUCCCAAUUUUUUUUUUUUUUUGAGAUGGAAUCUUGCUCUGUUGCCCAGGCUGGAGUGCAGUGCUGCGAUCUUGGCUCACUGCAACCUCCACCUCCCAGGUUUGAGUGGUUCUCCUGCCCAAGCCUCCCAAGUAGCUGGGACAACAGGUGCCGGCCAUCAUGUGCAGCUAUUUUUUUGUAUUUUUAGUAGAAACGAGGUUUCACCAUGUUGGCCAGGAUGGUCUUGAUCUCUUGACCUCAUGAUCUGCCUGCCUUGGCCUCCCAAAGUGCUGGGAUUACAGGCAUGAGCCACUGCACGUGGCCUACACUCUUUUUAUUGGAGAUGGAGUGUUGCUCUUUCGCCCAGGCUGGAGUGUAGUGGCACAAUCUCGGCUCACUGCAACCUCUGCCUCCCGGGUUGAAGUGAUUCUCCUGCCUCAGCCUCCAGAGUAGCUGGUAUUCCAGGUGUGCACCACCACACCACAACUGUCUAAUUUUUCUAUAUUCAGUAGAGAGGGGGUUUCACCAUGUUGGCCAGGCUAGUCUCGAACUCCUAACCUCAAGUGAUCUGCCCUCCUUGGCCUCCCAAAGUGCUGGGAUUAUAGGAGUGAGCCACCAUGUCGUCCGGUCCUUGGUCCUCUCUCUCACUCUUGGGGACUUACUUUCAAGUUCAAAGCGCCUCCACAGACUGAACAUCUGCCCCUCCACGAGCCACCCCCAACAAAGUUCUGCCUGCCACUCCUCCAGCUGCCUUUCCAACAGACUCCUAUUGUUCACUCACUAUUCUCUUUUCUUCUUAACCCAAAUUUCUGAGGUCAGAAGUAUAAGCGCUUCUAGUACAGGCAAAGAUGAUGCCUAACUUUUACCGUCACUCAUCAAGAAGUCACAGGCUGGACGACAGACUGCCCAGAGAUGGAGUCUUGCUCUGCCGCCCAGGCUAGAGUGCAAUGGUGCAAUCUCGGUUCACUGCAACAUCCGCCUCCCAGGUUCAAGUGUUUCUCCUGCCUCAGCCUCCUGAGUAGCUGGGAUUACAGGUGUCUGCCACCACACCCGGCUAAUUUGUGUAUAUUUAGUAGAGAUGGAGUUUCACCAUGUUUGUUGGUCAGUCUGGUCUUGAAAUCCUGACCUCAGGUGAUCCACCCCUUGGCCUCCCAAAGUGCUGGGAUUACAGGCUGAGCCACCGUGCCCAGUCCUUCACACUUUCAUUAAUUGGUUAAAUGUUUGUGAGGAAUCUGUAGGGCAGGCACCAAGUUGGGCAGCCAAAGGGGAGGAGGCUGACAGAGAUGCAAAGGGCCUGGGUGUCUGAUGAUGUGGCUGGACUGCUGAACUACCUGGCCCUGCAGAAAAUAUGGAUUGCAACAAUAAAAAAGAGCAUGUACUUUCGGAUUGACAAGGUGCCAUGAACUGAUCUAGGUCUUGUGGAGCCAUAGGGAAUCUAUUUAGGUAAAAAUGCCUAUUCUCAUGAUACUUGAUAUGGUUUGAAUGUCUGUCCCCUCCAACUCUCAUACUGAAAUGUGACCUCCAUUGUUGGAAACGGGGCCUGGUGGGAAGUGUUUGGGUCAUGCGGGUGGAUCCCUCAUCGGUACCUUGGUGCCCUCUUCAUGGUAAUGAGUGAGUUCUCACUCUCUCCUGUGAGAUCUGGUUAAGACCGUGUGGCCUCUCCCCUGCCCCUUGCUCCCUCUCUUGCUGUGAGAUGCACCUGCUCCCCCUUCGCCUUCUGCCAUGACCAGAAGCUUCCUGAGGCCUCACCAGAAGCAGAUGUUGGCCUCACACUUCCUGUACAGCCUGCAGAACCAUGACCCCAAAUAAACCUCUUGCUUUAUAAAUUA